AUUGAACGCUGGCGGUAUGCCUUACACAUGCAAGUCGAACGGCAGCGGACAUUCGGGUGCCGGCGAGUGGCUAACGGGUGAGUAAUGCAUCGGAACGUACCUUUCAGUGGGGGAUCACGUAGCGAAAGUUACGCUAAUACCGCAUCUUCUGUGAGCAGGAAAGCAGGGGAUCGCAAGACCUUGCGCUGAUUGAGCGGCCGAUGUCAGAUUAGCUAGUUGGUGAGGUAAAGGCUAACCAAGGCGACGAUCUGUAGCGGGUCUGAGAGGAUGAUCCGCCACACUGGGACUGAGACACGGCCCAGACUGCUACGGGAGGCAGCAGUGGGGAAUUUUGGACAAUGGGGGCAACCCUGAUCCAGCCAUGCCGCGUGAGUGAAGAAGGCCUUCGGGUUGUAAAGCUCUUUCGGCCGGGAAGAAAUCGCACAGGCUAAUACCUUGUGUGGAUGACGGUACCGGAAUAAGAAGCACCGGCUAACUACGUGGCAGCCGCCGCCGUAAGAC
rnacentral:rRNA from 1 species